rnacentral:tRNA from 1 species
AAUGGACUAGCUCCUCCUUAGA